rnacentral:rRNA from 1 species
GACGAACGCUGGCGGCGCGCCUAACACAUGCAAGUCGAACGGAGCUGAGAGAAGCUUGCUUUUCUUAGCUUAGUGGCGAACGGGUGAGUAACGCGUGAGUAACCUGCCCUGGAGUGGGGGACAACAGUUGGAAACGACUGCUAAUACCGCAUAAGCCCACGAUCCGGCAUCGGAUUGAGGGAAAAGGAUUUAUUCGCUUCAGGAUGGACUCGCGUCCAAUUAGCUAGUUGGUGAGGUAACGGCCCACCAAGGCGACGAUUGGUAGCCGGACUGAGAGGUUGACCGGCAACAUUGGGACUGGGACACGCCCCGAACUCCAACGGAGGGAGGCAGGGGGGAUUAUUGCACAUGGGGGAAACCCUGAUGCAGCGACGCCGCGUGGAGGAAGAAGGUUUUCGGAUUGUAAACUCCUGUCGUGAGGGACGAUAAUGACGGUACCUAACAAGAAAGCACCGGCUAACUACGUG